rnacentral:rRNA from 1 species
CAGUCGCCACGGUAAUACAGAGGGUGCGAGCGUUAAUCGGAUUUACUGGGCGUAAAGCGUGCGUAGGCGGCUUCUUAAGUCGGAUGUGAAAUCCCUGAGCUUAACUUAGGAAUUGCAUUCGAUACUGGGAAGCUAGAGUAUGGGAGAGGAUGGUAGAAUUCCAGGUGUAGCGGUGAAAUGCGUAGAGAUCUGGAGGAAUACCGAUGGCGAAGGCAGCCAUCUGGCCUAAUACUGACGCUGAGGUACGAAAGCAUGGGGAGCAAACAGGAUUAGAUACCCGAGUAGUCCAUGUCUCUUAUAC